rnacentral:rRNA from 1 species
GGGUUGUGAGGUUAAGCGACUAAGCGUACACGGUGGAUGCCCUGGCAGUCAGAGGCGAUGAAGGACGUGCUAAUCUGCGAUAAGCGUCGGUAAGGUGAUAUGAACCGUUAUAACCGGCGAUUUCCGAAUGGGGAAACCCAGUGUGUUUCGACACACUAUCAUUAACUGAAUCCAUAGGUUAAUGAGGCGAACCGGGGGAACUGAAACAUCUAAGUACCCCGAGGAAAAGAAAUCAACCGAGAUUCCCCCAGUAGCGGCGAGCGAACGGGGAGCAGCCCAGAGCCUGAAUCAGUGUGUGUGUUAGUGGAAGCGUCUGGAAAGGCGCGCGAUACAGGGUGACAGCCCCGUACACAAAAAUGCACAUGCUGUGAGCUCGAUGAGUAGGGCGGGACACGUGGUAUCCUGUCUGAAUAUGGGGGGACCAUCCUCCAAGGCUAAAUACUCCUGACUGACCGAUAGUGAACCAGUACCGUGAGGGAAAGGCGAAAAGAACCCCGGCGAGGGGAGUGAAAAAGAACCUGAAACCGUGUACGUACAAGCAGUGGGAGCACGCUUAGGCGUGUGACUGCGUACCUUUUGUAUAAUGGGUCAGCGACUUAUAUUCUGUAGCAAGGUUAACCGAAUAGGGGAGCCGAAGGGAAACCGAGUCUUAACUGGGCGUUAAGUUGCAGGGUAUAGACCCGAAACCCGGUGAUCUAGCCAUGGGCAGGUUGAAGGUUGGGUAACACUAACUGGAGGACCGAACCGACUAAUGUUGAAAAAUUAGCGGAUGACUUGUGGCUGGGGGUGAAAGGCCAAUCAAACCGGGAGAUAGCUGGUUCUCCCCGAAAGCUAUUUAGGUAGCGCCUCGUGAAUUCAUCUCCGGGGGUAGAGCACUGUUUCGGCAAGGGGGUCAUCCCGACUUACCAACCCGAUGCAAACUGCGAAUACCGGAGAAUGUUAUCACGGGAGACACACGGCGGGUGCUAACGUCCGUCGUGAAGAGGGAAACAACCCAGACCGCCAGCUAAGGUCCCAAAGUCAUGGUUAAGUGGGAAACGAUGUGGGAAGGCCCAGACAGCCAGGAUGUUGGCUUAGAAGCAGCCAUCAUUUAAAGAAAGCGUAAUAGCUCACUGGUCGAGUCGGCCUGCGCGGAAGAUGUAACGGGGCUAAACCAUGCACCGAAGCUGCGGCAGCGACGCUUAUGCGUUGUUGGGUAGGGGAGCGUUCUGUAAGCCUGCGAAGGUGUGCUGUGAGGCAUGCUGGAGGUAUCAGAAGUGCGAAUGCUGACAUAAGUAACGAUAAAGCGGGUGAAAAGCCCGCUCGCCGGAAGACCAAGGGUUCCUGUCCAACGUUAAUCGGGGCAGGGUGAGUCGACCCCUAAGGCGAGGCCGAAAGGCGUAGUCGAUGGGAAACAGGUUAAUAUUCCUGUACUUGGUGUUACUGCGAAGGGGGGACGGAGAAGGCUAUGUUGGCCGGGCGACGGUUGUCCCGGUUUAAGCGUGUAGGCUGGUUUUCCAGGCAAAUCCGGAAAAUCAAGGCUGAGGCGUGAUGACGAGGCACUACGGUGCUGAAGCAACAAAUGCCCUGCUUCCAGGAAAAGCCUCUAAGCAUCAGGUAACAUCAAAUCGUACCCCAAACCGACACAGGUGGUCAGGUAGAGAAUACCAAGGCGCUUGAGAGAACUCGGGUGAAGGAACUAGGCAAAAUGGUGCCGUAACUUCGGGAGAAGGCACGCUGAUAUGUAGGUGAAGUCCCUCGCGGAUGGAGCUGAAAUCAGUCGAAGAUACCAGCUGGCUGCAACUGUUUAUUAAAAACACAGCACUGUGCAAACACGAAAGUGGACGUAUACGGUGUGACGCCUGCCCGGUGCCGGAAGGUUAAUUGAUGGGGUUAGCCGCAAGGCGAAGCUCUUGAUCGAAGCCCCGGUAAACGGCGGCCGUAACUAUAACGGUCCUAAGGUAGCGAAAUUCCUUGUCGGGUAAGUUCCGACCUGCACGAAUGGCGUAAUGAUGGCCAGGCUGUCUCCACCCGAGACUCAGUGAAAUUGAACUCGCUGUGAAGAUGCAGUGUACCCGCGGCAAGACGGAAAGACCCCGUGAACCUUUACUAUAGCUUGACACUGAACAUUGAGCCUUGAUGUGUAGGAUAGGUGGGAGGCUUUGAAGUGUGGACGCCAGUCUGCAUGGAGCCGACCUUGAAAUACCACCCUUUAAUGUUUGAUGUUCUAACGUUGACCCGUAAUCCGGGUUGCGGACAGUGUCUGGUGGGUAGUUUGACUGGGGCGGUCUCCUCCUAAAGAGUAACGGAGGAGCACGAAGGUUGGCUAAUCCUGGUCGGACAUCAGGAGGUUAGUGCAAUGGCAUAAGCCAGCUUGACUGCGAGCGUGACGGCGCGAGCAGGUGCGAAAGCAGGUCAUAGUGAUCCGGUGGUUCUGAAUGGAAGGGCCAUCGCUCAACGGAUAAAAGGUACUCCGGGGAUAACAGGCUGAUACCGCCCAAGAGUUCAUAUCGACGGCGGUGUUUGGCACCUCGAUGUCGGCUCAUCACAUCCUGGGGCUGAAGUAGGUCCCAAGGGUAUGGCUGUUCGCCAUUUAAAGUGGUACGCGAGCUGGGUUUAGAACGUCGUGAGACAGUUCGGUCCCUAUCUGCCGUGGGCGCUGGAGAACUGAGGGGGGCUGCUCCUAGUACGAGAGGACCGGAGUGGACGCAUCACUGGUGUUCGGGUUGUCAUGCCAAUGGCACUGCCCGGUAGCUAAAUGCGGAAGAGAUAAGUGCUGAAAGCAUCUAAGCACGAAACUUGCCCCGAGAUGAGUUCUCCCUGACUCCUUGAGAGUCCUGAAGGAACGUUGAAGACGACGACGUUGAUAGGCCGGGUGUGUAAGCGCAGCGAUGCGUUGAGCUAACCGGUACUAAUGAACCGUGAGGCUUAACCUUACAACGCCGAAG